AAGGAAUAAAAAGGAAUAUCGAAAAUUCGAGUGGCUGAAGCUGAAGCAGCUACUUUCGGAGUAACAGAAAGAAAAGCAACGAUUGGAGUGGGAGAGUCAGAAACUUUUUAUAUAGAAUCAA